GAUCAGAAUCAGAAAACCCUAUCUCUAGAAAUCAAAUGUAUAUUAUGAUCUCCAAACUAAAUAAGAUAUCAAAACUAUCACCUAAAUUGAGCCACCAUGAGAUAAAGAAGAGAAGGAAGAUAAAAGUUCAUCUUUGAAAACAAAAAGUGCACCUGACGAUAGAGGUAGAGUCGAUCUUGGGGUGGGGAUUCAAAUGGAUGGUUGAAUAUUUCGCAGAAAGGACACCCAGAGAACGGAGAGCGAAAUGUGGAGAGAAAACUAUAUUGGGAUCAGCUUGUCCGUCCAUGGGC
rnacentral:lncRNA from 1 species